ACAAACUUGGUCAUUUAGAGGAAGUAAAAGUCGUAACAAGGUCUCCGUUGGUGAACCAGCGGAGGGAUCAUUACCGAAGUUUAUUCUUCACACCCCUAAUGUGAACCCUACCCCUCGCCGCGCGGUUGUCUCGGCGUGGAGGUCCGGGGGCGCGGGGCCUAGCCCCCGCCCACCCGGUCCCCCGCCGGCCGCGCCCAAACUCUUCUUCUGCAAAGCGGACUGCACGCUCUGAUUGCAAAUUUGAUAAACAAGUCAAAACUUUCAACAACGGAUCUCUUGGUUCUGGCAUCGAUGAAGAACGCAGC
rnacentral:misc_RNA from 1 species